rnacentral:lncRNA from 1 species
UUUAAUAAAACGAAUAAAUUCAGAAUGGAUGUGCAUAUUCACAUGACAUAUUGUAAUCCAGGAGGUGGGUUCAAAAUGCUGGCCUCCAACUACCUUGGGAUCACAGAGCAUCCAUUCUUCUUAGAGGUUGAAGAGUUGACAGAGAAAGUAAUGGUGACUCCUGCUGAUGUAGCUGAGCGACUGAUGAGGAGUGAGGUACCUGAAGUUGCACUUAGAGACCUAAUUGAUUUUCUUAAGAUCAAGAAGAGAGAACAGGGUGAAAGUAAAGCCAAAGGAGUGAAAGAAGAGAGAGCAGGGGAAGCAGAAAUUGAAGGGAAAGCCAGUGGCACAUGCGGAGACAUGCCAAAGAUUCAGCAAAUUGUAGGGAAGUCUUCAAGAAGCAAUGAUUUGUGAUCAGAAUAGGGUACAUUUCAUUUCAGUGGUCAAAGAAAGUCUUACAUAGGAGGUUCAAAUAAAAUUACAUCAGAGUCAAAAAUCAGGCUUGAAUGAAUAUGUUCUAUUUUGCCAAUGAAUUCGAAUCAUCAUAUGAUUAAUGACCACCAUUUUCUUUUUCUUUUUUUUUCUUUUUUUGGUUUUACAAGAGGUGUCCUUUUAUAUUUUCUUUAGAUUAAAUGACCUUUUGUAUGUCCUAAAUUUUCAGAAAUUAUUUUAGGAUGAGUUAUGCUAUUUCAACUCUAUGACGACAAAGGGACGACAGAAACAUGUGUCUCUUUGUCUGUUGCUUCAACUUCAUUCAUCAUCCUUUAUCGAUUACUUUUUUCAUUUAAAAAAUAAAAUAAUGAAAAAGAAACCACAAAAGUAACGAAAAGAGGUGACAAUAACAGCACUUUUUUAUUUCCGAUUUUUCUUGUUGUCUUCUCUCUCUCCAUCUCUCACCUCUCAUUUAACGUGAGCCAUCUGCAUUUAACAAGGAAAAAUCGGUUCCCUCUCUGCAUCUCGCUUAUCACAAGGAAGAAGUUAGAUCUGGAUCUGCAAACAGAGGCAACUUGAUAAAAUUGGUACUGAUUAAUUGGUAAGUUGGUGACUCUCAUUACAUUUAAAUAAAAUUUUUGUUGUGUUCUAUAUAUUUAAAUGGUUAGAAUAUUUAAUUUAAAUUGUAAAUAUUCGUAGAUUUUUUCUUUUUAUAUAUUUAAAUUGUUAUGAUUUUUUUUUAAUUUAAAUGGGUGGAAAUAAUGGAAUAAAUUAUAACAAUUUCUGAAUGUGUUUUAUAUAUGUUAGGAUUUUUUUUAAUUUAAAUGCCUGGAAAUAAUGGAAUAAAUUGUAACAAUUUUUUAAUGUGUUUUAUAUAUGUUAGGAUUUUUCUUAAUUUAAAUGGCUGGAAAUAAUGGAAUAGAUUAUAACAAUUUCUAAAUGUGUUUUAUAUAUGUUACGAUUUUUUUUAAUUUAAAUUGCUGAAAAUAAUGUAAUAAAUUAUAACAAUUUCCGAAUGUGUUUUAUAUAUUUAAGUUGUUAGGAUUUUAUAAUUUAAAUUGCUGGAGAUAAUAGAAUAAAUUAUAAAAAUUUGUGGAUGUGUUUUAUAUAUUUAAAUUGUUAGGAAUUUUCGUUACUGGACAAAAAUGUUAUAUAAGUUUCUUAAUACAAAUGUUAAUUAUUUUGUAGAAAUGGAGAAUUUGGAAAAUGAGCAUGCAUUUGAAGAGUUGCAAGAAACAAGAGCUAACGAUGUAGAUGAAAUUGUGGAACCGAACAAAUGUGAGCCAGAUCUUAGAAUGUUAUUUGAUAAUCGUGAAGAAAUGUUUGCAUUUUACAAAGCUUAUAGUAAACAAGAGGGGUUUCCUGUGAAGGUUCAAAGUACUAGGAAGGGGACCGAUGGAAUUGUAAAAUAUGCGACAUUUGCAUGUGGGCGUAGCGGCAAGUCAGAAAGUAAAUCAGCUAAUGCAUUGAAGCCGAAACCGAAUGUGAAAAAUGGUUGUGAUGCAAAAAUUGGAGGUUGUCUAAAUGAAGAUGGAAAAUGGGUUCUUCAAACUUUAAAUCUUCAACACAACCCUGGAUUGAGUCCAGACAAAGCUAGGUAUUUCCCAUGCAAUCGCAGAAUUAGUGCAAGUGCUAAAAAACGAAUUAAAAUUAAUGAUUGUGCAGGAAUUAGAAUUGUCCAAAAUUUCAAUUCUAUUGUUGUUGGAGCUAGUGGGUAUGAAAAUGUGUCAUUCUUAGAAAAAGAUUGUAGAAAUUUUGUUGACAAAACAAGGCGAUUACAGCUUGAGGAAGGAGAUGUUAUGGCGCUUUUAAAGUACUUCCAUAAAAAGCAAGUAGAAUGUGCUCAAUAUUUCGAUUUAUGUCACAAUCUCCCAGUGUCAAGUAGCUGGAUACCGUUCACGUUCCACAUAUUAUUUUUCACAUUUAAUUAAUUCAAUUAAGUGGAUGAUCAUAUAAAUGAUACCACGAUAUGUUAAAUUGAAAGUUCAGAAAGAUUCAAAAUUUCAUCAUCCACAAGAUAAAAUAAAAACAAAUAAAAAAAAUGCUUACGGAUGGGUCACUAGAACUGCACCAGCAAGCAACAGCUAGAAGUCUCUUAGAAGCCUGAAGAGCCACAACAAGAUCAUUCCACCAAAGCAGCAACGUCGUAGAUGAAGAAGACUCGAUCGUGUCUGUUGUAGAUCUGGGUUGGGCGAGAACAAGAAGCGGUCGUCAUCCGGUAACAAGAAGCAGGCGUCGUCCGGUAACAAAGCAAAUAGGGUUGGGCGAGAAAAAAAAAAAAAAGGGCUGGGUGAGAAUAAGCAGCCAGGAAAAUGAGUGGAGGGGCUAUGGAGAUGAAUGCGCGUAGAUCGAGGCUGAGCUGGUGGCCAAUGAGAAUCAUACUUUGCUAACCAAGCUUGUGAAAAGGAGGGAAAAGCACCAGCCGGCCAGGAAUGAUGACCAAUUGCUGGGGGUCGAUUUCCUCUUCCUUCCAGAUGAACGGAAAGGGAAGAACGAAGGAGGGGAGUAAACUAAGGAAAGGAAAAUAUGGCUGGGGAGGGAGGAGAUAAAAAACAAAAAGAGAUGACCUGCUUUCCAUUUAACAAUUCUUUAUUUUAUUAUUUAUUAUGGCCCCACGCGGAACUAAAAGAAGACAAAGGAAACGCGUGAAACAGCAGUGGGCACUGCGUUUCUGUCGCCCCUUUGUCUUCUUUUAGUUCCUUUAUCAUUUUCCUUUUAGGAUUCAUUGGUUGAAUAGAUUUGUAUCCCCCAAGGUUAACAUUAUUAUACUUAGUGCUUAUUCGGUAUAACUUAUCUAACGAACAUUAGUGUUUAUUUAAUUUUAUAAGAUCUUUUCAAAAAAUUUAGUAUUGUCUGGUUGCAUUUUGAAUAGAGCAUUUGAAGAUUAAAUAAGAUAUUUUGUUUUUAGUAGUAAUAAACUCAAAUUUUGGACUUGUAAGAAUAGAGGUUGUAGAACCUUUUUAAAAACUUAAAUUAUCUUAAUUUAUUUAACAAUCUUGUUUCACUUCUUUCAUAACAUAAAUUUUAAAAAAUAAUCAAUUAAAGUGAUUUUAUAAUUAAAAAAAAAAGUUCUUGUCGAUAACUAAAAAAUUCAAAAAAAAAAUUCAGAAAAUCUCUACUUCUAAAAGUCCUACAAAUAUAAGGCCAUUUAUCACAACCAUAGUAUCUGCUACAGCUUAUGCCGUGUCCACAAUUAUGGUUGCUCCAUCCAUUACUCAAGAAUACUUCCCUAAUGAGGCUAGAGGCUACUUAUGUGUACAACUUAAAGCUCUUAUGGCAAGAUAUUCUAAUGAGUGAACAUUAGUCUUGUUGGGUCCAUCUCAUUUUGGGGCCCAAAAGCCCAAAAUCUAAAAAGGUCCAAAAACAUUUACUUGAUUUGUAAUUAACAUUAAGCUUUGGAUUUUGAUGAAAUUUGCCAUGAAAUUUAGUUUUAAAAAAACAAGCAGCAGCCCUAGUUUCCUAAUCACAAAAAGACGAGUGGGAAAAGAGAGAAGAAGAUAGUGACCGGCUAUCAUCAUUUGGAGGCAAGAUUUUUAACCUUUAAUUGGACAAUCGAAAGGCAAAAAUAUUUUCGUUUUCUCCUAAAUUUUGAGGGUAAGUUCGCCCUCUAUAAUCUUAGUGAUCUUGAUUAUUAUUUUAUCCUUUCGUUGGUUAUUAUUUGAGAUACCCAUUUAUUAAAAAGAUAAAUAUUAAGUUGUUACUGUAAGUCAAAAACAUUAAGAUUCCUGAUGUUAUUAGCCUCUAAUAUUAUCUAGAGAAAAAUUUGUGUUAUAAUCUCAUUAAUAUAAUAGAAGUUAUAACGAACUAUGUCCUGUAGUUUUUUCCGCUUUAGGUUUUCCACAUAAAAAUCUAUAUCUCUUGUGGUUAAUUUUAUUGCUUUGGAUUUAUUAGUUUAUUUUUCUGCCUAUUUAUUUGUGAUGCAUAACAUAUUUAAAUCACACAAAGAGAAAAAGAGUUUUGUUUCCGCUUAAUUUGUAACUAGUUGUGGUAGUCACUUUCCCAACAUAUAUGCCAUUGGCUUUCCUUUCAAUUUGGUGCGUCAUCUGCUCUCUCUUCUUUUGCUUCUUUAGCUUUACUUUCAUCAUUUUCCGUCUGCUUAAUCUUAAAGACAUCAGUUAGGCCUCUAAGUGCAAUUUCGGGUACUUUAUUCCUCAUUAGCUGCUCAACUACAUCUGCUAGAGUCACAUUUGCUUUCUCUAUCAACUCGUCAAUCUCUGUGAGGAGUGGAUGCUCUGUGAUCCCAAAGUAGUUUGAGGCUAGCAUUUUGAACCGAAAUGGAGUGCAAUAAGACAUAUGAAUGUGCAUGUCCAUACAACUUGAUCGCAACAAUAUAUGCAGGGUCAAGUCUGUUUUUAUGAUUAGUUGUGAAUAUUAUGAUCCUCUCAUAUGCACAACUCGACCACAAUCCAUCUAUGAAGUUUAGCAAUCCUGAUAAGGUCACUUUUGUUUCUUGAUUGAUAUUAGUUAUCGAUUUGAUUGCAUUAGAUUUCACAUGAUUCAAAGCUUUUGCCUAUGAAUGCUUGUCUUGCAAAUUUAUGGAACAAUCAAUGUCCUCCACAACAAGAAUAGACUUAUUCUCUGUGGCAAUCAACAUAUUCCUUAACUCCAUAUUCUCUUUGAAAGUAGUCAACUCCAAGUCAUAGACAUCAAAAUUAAGAUAAUUAGUCAUGGCUGCAAUUAAGCUGGAUUUCCCUAUUCCUAGAGGACCGUAUAAAAAGUACCUAUGUUUCCAUGCUUUGCCAACAUUUCUAUAAAACUCUUUCCUCUUCACAAACCUCUCAAGAUCAUUCAUUAUCAUCUGCUUCAUUUUAGAAUCCAUUGCCAGUGUAUCGAAAGGGGCUGGAUGUCAAGAUUCACCGAUUGCCAUACGUCUCUCCCUUCGUGCAUCAUGUCCUUUAAAGUAAAAAGCUUCAAAGUCUUUUUUUGCCUGCUUAUUUCUUUAAAUACAUUCAAUACAUGAGGAAUGUAAGCAUGCAAGACCAUUUGCUUAUGCUUCUUCUGAGAUCUUAACUCAAAGAGUUUGUUCUUGUCUUUAACCUUGUAUUGGUCUGGAUUACGAACCACCUCCAGUGGGUCUGGUCUCGAAAGAAACUUCUGUUUUAAUUGAACCCCAUUAAAGAUAUCAACAAUCUCAUCAUUUUAUCUAUUUGAGCAUGAAAUUUUGAUGUCCAUAUUCGACGUGAUGACUGUUAAGAUCUCAGAAGAAGCAUAAGCAAAUGGUCUUGCAUGCUUACAUUCCUCAUGUAUUGAAUGUAUUUAAAGAAAUAAGCAGGCAAAAAAAGACUUUGAAGCUUUUUACUUUAAAGGACAUGAUGCACGAAGGGAGAGACGUAUGGCAAUCGGUGAAUCUUGACAUCCAGCCCCUUUCGAUACACUGGCAAUGGAUUCUAAAAUGAAGCAGAUGAUAAUGAAUGAUCUUGAGAGGUUUGUGAAGAGGAAAGAGUUUUAUAGAAAUGUUGGCAAAGCAUGGAAACAUAGGUACUUUUUAUACGGUCCUCUAGGAAUAGGGAAAUCCAGCUUAAUUGCAGCCAUGACUAAUUAUCUUAAUUUUGAUGUCUAUGACUUGGAGUUGACUACUUUCAAAGAGAAUAUGGAGUUAAGGAAUAUGUUGAUUGCCACAGAGAAUAAGUCUAUUCUUGUUGUGGAGGACAUUGAUUGUUCCAUAAAUUUGCAAGACAAGCAUUCAUAGGCAAAAGCUUUGAAUCAUGUGAAAUCUAAUGCAAUCAAAUCGAUAACUAAUAUCAAUCAAGAAACAAAAGUGACCUUAUCAGGAUUGCUAAACUUCAUAGAUGGAUUGUGGUCGAGUUGUGCAUAUGAGAGGAUCAUAAUAUUCACAACUAAUCAUAAAAACAGACUUGACCCUGCAUAUAUUGUUGCGAUCAAGUUGUAUGGACAUGCACAUUCAUAUGUCUUAUUGCACUCCAUUUCGGUUCAAAAUGCUAGCCUCAAACUACUUUGGGAUCACAGAGCAUCCACUCCUCACAGAGAUUGACGAGUUGAUAGAGAAAGCAAAUGUGACUCUAGCAGAUGUAGUUGAGCAGCUAAUGAGGAAUAAAGUACCCGAAAUUGCACUUAGAGGCCUAACUGAUGUCUUUAAGAUUAAGCAGACGGAAAAUGAUGAAAGUAAAGCUAAAGAAGCAAAAGAAGAGAGAGCAGAUGACGCACCAAAUUGAAAGGAAAGCCAAUGGCAUAUAUGUUGGGAAAGUGACUACCACAACUAGUUGCAAAUUAAGCGGAAACAAAACUCUUUCCCUCUUUGUGUAAUUAAAAUAGGAUAUGUACCACAAAUAAAUAAGCAGAAAAUAAACCAAUAUAAUCCAAAGCAAAAAAACCAACCACAGGAGACUUACAUUUUUACGUGGAAAACCCAAAACAAGAAAAACCACAGAACCAUAGUCCGAUAUAAUCUUCCACUAUAUUAAUAGGAUUACAGCAUAAAUUAUUCUCUAAAUAAUACUACAGGCUACCAACAUCAAUAAAUCUCAAUAUUAUUCGCUUACAGUAACAGCCUAAUAUUUAUUUUUCUAAUAAGUGGGUAUCUCAAAUAAUAGCUAACGAGACAAUAAAAUAAAAAUCAAGACUAAUAAAAGUAUAGAGGAUGAUAUUAGAAACUUACCCUCAAAAUUUAAAAAAAAACAAAGUUAAUUUCACCUUCCGACCGUCCAACUAAAGAUUGAAACUAAAGCCCUCAAAUUUAAUAUUGUCAUUGUUCUCUCUCUCUCUCUCUCUCUCUCUCUCUCUUCUUUUUCUUCUCCACAAAAGUUGCUGCCGCCUCCAUUUAUUCUUCUUUAUAGAGCCACGUUUUCAAAACCUAAUUCAUGGCAAAUUUCAUCUAAGUCCAAAGCUUAAUAAUAAUUGCAAAUGAAGCAAACUUAUUUGGACUUGAGCAUUUUGGUCCACUAAAAUGAAAUGAACCCUACGAAUCUCCCCCUCCAACUCAUUUCAGAGACACCACCAAGCCCGCUCUUUACAUAAGCUUUUUAACUACUCCUUGGGCAAUGUCUUUGUCAUCAUAUCUAAUAAUAUAUAAAUUAAGAUGUUGAUGCUUAAAUCUGCUCGCGUUGUGACCGACCAGAUUCCUUCACCAACGUUUGUAUUGUCAGCUGUUGCUCAGAUCACUGGGGUGGAAUCUCCUUGCUUUCUCUUACUAGACCUGCGUUCACAAAAACAAGUCAGAGACGCCGGUGGUUUUGCCGGCGUAAAACCCUCCGAUGCCUAAGUUAGCACAAGGUGUUUACGGGAAAACUGUGUAAUUCAGAUUCAAGAAGGGUUUCUAACUCGUUUUGUAAGAAAGAGUCUGAUUGCAAUUUGGCAGCGUUUUUCCUCUCUCCCACCUUUUCUUCCCUUUUUUAUCGUUUUUCCUCCUUUUAUAGCCGUUAUCCCACGUUCACCUUCAAUUUUCAUCCCUCCUUUUUCGGGUAGUGGCCUUUAAAUGCUUUUAAAUGCUACAUCAUGGGUAAACGUGGGGUAUCGCAUCUCUCGUAACGGUUCUAGGAAAAGUGCAAACGCCAUAAUUCUGUGGGAUCGUGUUCCCGCUUUUCCAGGAGACGGGUAUCAGCUCGGGAUACACCUUUGGUCAGUAUUAGACUCUGAUCGGUUCAUGCUGCCCCCUGCUCUGCUCGUACCGUACCACUUGGCUGAGGUGAUUCAUGCCAGGGGUUAUUCAUGCCGAGGUGAAAACAGUAAUAUGGCCGACCUGGUAUCAUUAUUGGCUCAACAUAAGACAUGCUAAAUAUUCAGUAUAUUGGGUUUGUUAUAAAAAAUUUUGGAUACGUGGGUAAUAUAUUCAAUAACAUAUACGUGUGUGUGUAUUUAAUCCACUAAUCUUGCUAUCAUGCAUGAAAUUAAUUUCGAUUAUGAAUACGUAUAUAAAAAUUUUAUCUGGGUGCAUCUGGUUUUCAAAUAAUAUCAUCCCAUAAUUUAGGAGCAGAUUUGAAUGGUUGUAGUUACAUAAUAUUUUUUUUUUUUUUUAAAAAAAAAGGUAUUUUCUAAUACCUCUUUUUGUAUCAACAUUUCCCUUUUCUGUUUAAUCCUUUGUUUCCAGUUCCCUCUACCAGGCCUUGAACCAUAGUGACUAAGAUAACUUGGAUGGUAAUCCAUCCGCUAAGGCCAAGGUAUCCCGGUGGCCCAUUUCUAUAAAGCAAAUUCUAUAUUAGAACAUUGAGUCCUGUGCUUACAUCCUUUACACUCUGUUGACGCUGUUCAACAAUUGUGCAAUGAAAAGAUGAAUUGAUCAAUGCACAUUACCCAAUUAAAAAGGAAGGUGUUUUUUAAUACCUCUCAUUUGAUUUGUUAGUUUCCUGCUUAUGUUCAAUGUUUCUUUUCUGUAUCUGAUUCUACCAGGUCUUGACCCCUGGCAGCAAACAAAUGCCCAAACAGCAUACUUGCCACCAAGGGCGCAUGUAGACUUGGUAACUAAACAACCCUCAAGGUGACCUUUUAACUUUGUGUAGCGAAUACAAGAAGGCCAGCCCAGCAGCCCUCAUUUUCAAACGUCAAAAUCUUAAUUACUUUUUGAAAAUUGAAGGCAUCAUUCAAAUUGAUUUGCUAACUUGUCCUCUAGGUUGGAAUAUAUGACUCUAUUAUAGCUUGACCUCAGUUUAUUAUUGGGACCUUGACUUGCAUGGUUAGAACCCACAAAACCUAAUAGCCACAUAUACUCAAGUCUUCGGUCACAUUAAAUUAAAAGAUUUUGGAGUGACUCUUAUAAAUGGAGGCCACCAUUUGUAAGUCAAUUCACAAUUAAAUUUUUGGGAGAAUUCAAGCCUGCCAAUUUUCACUUUCAUAUAAUAUUUCCUCAUUUGAAUACUUGUGUUUCUUCUUAUCUUUAAUGUUAGAGUACUUUCUACUUACAUUCACAACUUAAUUAACUUUUUAUUUUUUUUUUUAAUUUUCAUAAAUCAUUUUAGGAUUCACAGGUUGAAUAUAUUUAUAUAAUAAUGAUGAUAAUAAAAGAGACGCCGGUCAAUCAGAAAGUUCAUAUGAAUACUGUGUGAAGGGUGAGACCGAGUGUUAGAAAAUUUCCACUAAGAAAUUAGUCCAAAAUGCUUUUAAAUUAAGUACUAUGAAGUUAUCAAGAAUGUUCACUAAUGUAUUAAAAAAAAAAUGACUCUGAUUCGUUUCAUGCAUUUCCUACGAAAUAUUAAAAGUCAAGGCGGCUUCAUCACGCACGUUGAAAGAUUUGACAUAGAAACCCAUUUUCCACUCAAUGCUUAGCUACUGCCCACAAAGUCCCCAUCAAAAUAACCCACUUUGUACGAAGCUUUGGAAAAAAUUAUUCUUAAUCACAAAAAAUAAAAGCUCCCCAUAUUUUUAGGGCAUUUAACAUAAAAAGCAUAGUUUUUCUAUUAGUUAAUUUCAACUACAUCCGUAAAUUCUAUUACAGGGAGCAAAUUUAACUGUUAGUUCACGUUUAUAGUGCGAUACUACCAACCUCAAAAGUUGGCUUAUGGUCCUGUUCGGUAUAUAAAUUAGGUAGUUAUAGUUUAAACUUUAUAGUAUUAAAAUAUUUACUAAACACGAAUUGUUGUGUCCCAAAAGUUAAGUUGAUUUAAUUUAUCAUUUAUAUGAUUAAAAAAUUAAAAAAAUUAUUAUUUUUAUCAAAAUUAUUAUUUAAAAGACAUAUUAAUACACACUAGUUAAUAAUAUUUCAUAAUUAUAAUUUUUUUUUCGUAUAGCACAUUAAUACGGACCAAGGGUCUCAAUUGAGUAAUUAUUGCUGGGGUGGAAGUGAAUGUAUGUAGAAGUGUGGCAUACCAGUUUAUUUUUGUAGUGAAGUGAAUGCUUUUGCAGAGCACCAUGUGAUCAUAGGCAUAUUAUCCAAAAUGUUAAUUUUUCAAUACAAAUAAGUAAUAUAGUAGGGGUUCUCAUUGUUAUUACCACAUUUUUAUAAAUUUGUCCGUCUUCCACACACACUCUUUCAGUUUUUCCACCAUUAUUAUUUAAAUUUUAAUUCCAUAUAUCUUUCUUCACGAACUAAUAAGUACGUCAAAACUUGAAAACCACCAACAUAAGAAUUCAAGUAAGGAUGUGUUUGGAAUUGAGGUUAAGAAAUUGUAACUUUUAAGUCAAAGCACUAAAAUAUUUGGUAAACAUUAACUGUUGUAACUUGACAGUUAUGUUACUACGAUUUUUCACUUCUAUGAUAGAAAAUCUAUUAUAUCUUUAAUAAUUUAUCAAAAUUAUUAUUUAAAUUUUAUAUUUACUGCAUAUUAAUAACUUUUUUUUUUCAUAAUUAUAAUUUUUCUUUUCACAACAGUUGCAUCUUAAAAGAUACAGCACCUCAAUCCCAAACAUGACCUAAUUUUCUUUCAUUUUCCCACACUUCCUCUUCUCACACAUUUUCUCCUUCAAAAUUAAUAUCUUCUUAUUUUUUUUUCUUCAUUUGUAUCCUUGAGACCUUGACUUUUAAGAAUUUAACGACAUGUGGCACGCGUAAUAAUGAAUGUCUAAAUUGAAAUUUCUAUUAUUAAAAAACUCAUGUUAACUACUAAACUUUUUGAUUUAGUAGCUAAGUCUCAAACAUUCAAUUUUAAAUCCUUAAAAAUCAAGGGCACAUAAAAGAAAAAAAGAAAAAUAAAGUGAGAAUUUGAAUCUAGAAAUUAGGUAUAAAAAGAAGAGAGGAGAGUCAAAAUUGAAAUAAAUAAAAAUUAAAUGUUAAAAGGAAAAGUUUAAGAGUUAAUAUCAUUAAGAUUUUAUCUGCUGCACGUUUAUUACAUCAUUAAAAGUUACAAAAUAGAAUUUUUUUUUUUUUUUUUUUAAAAAAAAACACCAAUGAGAGAAUCCAAAUCCGCCUCCCUCGCCUUCCUUUCAUUAAUACCACUCCCACUAUAUAUUUCUUCCACAAACUCAUCAUCCAAAUGAAAAACAACCAAAAGAACCCAUAAAUCAAAAACCCUCCUUUCACCUCAAAAACUUUUUUUUCCCUCGCCACCAGAUAGGAAAAAAAAAAGAUGUCUCUUAACACUACCCAAAUGCUAUCAACCACCACCAUAGUAUCCGCUGCAGCUUCUGCAGCGGCCACAGCUAUGGUUAUUCGAUCCAUUACUCAUGAUUACUUGCCUUUUGAGGUUAGAGCCUACUUUGCUGUAAAACUCAAAUCUCUUCUUGCAAGAUUUUCUAGUGAGUUGACGUUAGUCAUUAACGAAUAUGAUGAUGGCCUUAACCAAAACGUGCUCUUUAAAGCUGCAAAGCUUUAUCUUGAACCCAGAAUCCCACCCUACGUGAAGCGAAUUAAGAUCAACCUGCCAAACAAGGAAACCAAGAUUUCAUGUUCUGUUGAAAAAGAUGAGGAGAUUGUUGAUGUCUUUAAUGGGGUUCAACUAAAAUGGAAGUUUGCUUCAAAACAAAUCCCUACAGAGAUGGUUCAUCAUCCGGACCAUUACAACCCUGUGGUUAAAUCCGAGGACAGAUGCUUUGAGCUCAGUUUUCACAAGAAGUAUAAGCAAAUGGUCAUGGAUAGUUACAUUCCUCACGUAUUGAAGCAAUCUAAAGAAACAAGCACGCAAAAGAAAACCCUGAAGCUUUUUACCUUGAGGUAUGAUAGGAUGCACGGGAUGAGAGGUGAUGUAUGGCAAUCAGUGAAUCUUGAUCAUCCGGCCACUUUUGAUACGCUGGCAAUGGAUUCUGAUAUGAAGCAGAUGAUAAUGGAUGAUCUCGAGAGGUUUGUGAAGAGGAAGGAGUUUUACAGAAAUGUGGGCAAGGCAUGGAAACGCGGGUAUUUGUUGUAUGGUCCUCCAGGUACAGGGAAGUCAAGCUUGAUUGCGGCCAUGGCUAAUUAUCUGAAUUUUGAUGUUUAUGACUUGGAGUUGACUAAUCUCAGAGGGAAUAUGGAGUUAAGGAAUUUGCUGAUCGCCACAGAGAAUAAAUCCAUUCUCGUUGUGGAGGACAUUGAUUGUUCCAUUGAGUUGCAGGAUAGGUUUGCAAAGGCAAAAGCUACCAAUGCUAUGGACUUGAAUGUGAUCCAACCCGUUAUGAAUCUUAAUCAAGUACCUCAGGUAAUCUUAGUAUCUCAAGAUUCUCGAGUCUUUUCUUUCUUUUUUUUUUCUUUUUUUUAAAUAGAACUUAUAUGGUACAUAAUUUUUUUUUUUCGACGUCAGGUGACUUUGUCUGGAAUGCUAAACUUCAUAGAUGGACUAUGGUCGAGCUGUGGGGAUGAGCGGAUCAUAAUAUUCACAACCAAUCAUAAAGACAGGCUGGACCCCGCUUUCUUGCGCCCUGGUCGUAUGGAUGUGCACAUUCAUAUGUCCUAUUGCACUCCAUGUGGGUUCAAAAUGCUGGCCUCAAGCUACCUUGGAAUUACCGAGCAUCCACUUUUCUUGGAGGUUGAAGGGUUGAUAGAGAAAGCAAAGGUGACUCCUGCUGAUGUAGCUGAGCAGCUGAUGAGGAAUGAGGUGCCCGAAAUUGCACUUAGGGAGCUAAUUCAGUUUCUUGAGAUAAAGAGGAGGGAAAGUGAUGAAAGCAAAGCUAAAGAAGUAAAAGAAGAGAGAGCAGAGGAAGCAGAAAGUGUUCGAGCAAUUGAAGCUUAAAAUCUUGCUGCCAUGCGCAUUUUAUAUAAUCUAUGCUGUCCUAAAAUUUUAUUUGUAAUAAAUCAUCAAAUGAUUUAGGAGCAAAUUGUGAUAUGCUUACUUAUAGCAUUAUUAAGAAAAUAAAGAAUUACAAAAGAAAGGUAUUUUAGAAUACCUCUUUUUAUAUCAAUUUUUUUUUCCUUCUUCUUGAUGUUUCUUCUUCUACCGUCUCUACCAGGUCUUGAACCUUGGUGGCUUGGAUAGUUAUGAAGAUAGCAAACCAGCCACUAGGGUACCAGGGAGACCGUAGCCGUACUCUCAAAAUAUAUAUUUUAACUAUGCCAAGGCAUUUAGCCCUUCUUGAUUAAUACGACUUUUGAAAAAUAAAUAAAAUAAAAUAAAAGAUUUAUUCUAUGCUUCUCUCUCUCUAUGCUAUACAAAAUAUUAACACAACAUUUCUUUUUAACAAAAAAGAGAGGUAUUUUAGAAUACCUCUUAUUUGGUUUCUUCUAUGCUUCUCUUUCUCUCUCUCUACCGGGUCUUGAACCCUGGCGGCACGGAAAUCCUAUCUGGCAUACUUGCCACCAAGGGAACAAAGAAACCCAGUGACAAAUUUUCCCCAAAAUAACUCUUGUCACAGUGAUUUGCAUUCGGCAUCAUCACACACCGACAGCGAAUGCAACACUUCAAAUAGUAGUGUGACUUUUCUGCAGCUAUGACUUAUUAACACCACCCACAUUCAUGCAAGUGACAUUAGAAAGACCUUAACGCAUCAAAAGAUCUUCCACAAAAUUUUUGAGUAGAAGCAAUUCUAAUGAAGAAUGACUAGUGAAUGUGAUUGGUGUAUCACAUAAGGUUUCCAACCAGAAAAAUCAAACCAUGCUUCAUCACAUAAAAAAGCAAUAAAUGGGUAAAACGAAAUAAAUCCAAGUUUCCAAAUCUCUUUCAAAUAGAGCAUUCGAGACUUUGAGCAGAAGUACAUACUGUGAUAGUUUUCAUGUAACAAGGGAAAAUGAAAGUUGAAAAGCAAGAAAAUACAAACAUCCUAAAUCACCUUAGAACCACCAACUCUUGUGGACUAAAGGAUUCCCGCUUACUACAUAUGCACUAUUUAAAAGUUUAUCCAACAAUCAGAUUCUUAUUGGCUAUUUGUAUAAAACUCUGCGUCAAUACAUGCCUCCAGUAGCGGUGCCUGCAAUAUUAUAUAGAAAAACACAACACAGCAUCAGUCUUCGGAAUUAGUUUUUUUUAUAAGCUCUAGACUACUUAAAACACACAAGGGGUAGCCAAGAUCUUGGAAGCUCCUAAAAUACAACACCAAUUAUGGUUCAAACUCAAGUUCACUUCAUACUCAACAUAAGACUUUAUGAAAGAUGCUAUUAGGUUUUCACAAAACCCUGGAACUUUCCAACAAGACCUACACUGCACCCCAUCUGAGGUAAAAAAAGGAAGUAUAUAGGGGUAAAUCUCCAAUAGUAUGCACUUUAUGAUUCAAGCUUCCAACAAGGACGCCAAGAUUUUCCAUUUUAUGAUGAUAUAUAUAUAUAUCCUACAUAAAACAAGAAGAGAAUCCACACCAAAAGUAUGCAAUAUAGUAACAUGCAAUGGAUUUUGCACACACUAUCAAACUUCGCCCAAAUUGAAACUAAUGAAACUUAGUGAAUGUUAAGAGGAUUCAAAGAGGGAAAAUAAAUCAAUGAACAGAAAAAUUGAGUGUUAUACUUGCCUCAAAACUUGGCAAUUAUUGCCUAGGAGGGACCAGAGUCUGUGAGUUACUGAACCUAUAAGAGAGAUCUAUACCGCCAUUUUCAUUUCUAUUUUCUGGUGUGGAUCAUAACCUAUAAGUUUGAAAUCCUCUGAUACAAAAGAAUCUAUAUCUUUCUUCUCAGGAUUGAUCUUCAAAAUCUGCAUUACAACAUGGUAAGAAAACAUAGAAGUACCAUAGGGUAAAAUGACAAAAAUAAAAAAUAAAAAUAAAAAAAAGUGAGAAAAGUAUUCAAGUACACCUUUUCCAUCUAUCAUCAUCAUGAGUUAAUAAUUGAGUCAUAAUCGUAUGUCUAUAAUUAUACUUACUGGAAAAGGCUUUGGCAGUUUCUGAAGUUGUUCCUCCAGAGGCCUGACAUGAUUGCGAUAAACAUGAGCAUCACCAAUGACAUGAAUGAAAUCGCCAGGAGCAAGAUCUGUACAACAUAAAAGGAGGUCAAGAGAGUUUCCUAAUGGACAAAACUCUAGCACUUAGACUAAUAAAACCAUUCGAUUAAUCCCUGCAUAAGGAAAUUUUACCCUUGUACAGAUUGUUCAUUAGUUUCUAUGUUUCCUAUACUCUUUUGAUCAAUUCAAAUUCCCCAUUCACAUUGGCGUAACACUCUUCAAAGAGUAAAGGGACACACUGCAAGGCUCAUUAUUAUUUCUCAUCAGAAAUUACUCUUUUAUCCGUUAAUUACCAAUGAUACCCAUCCAACUACCAAGUUUUAACAAUUCUGCCUGAAUGUGCAAACUGCAAAGUGAAACCAGUUUUUGGGGAGAAUACAUACCACAAACAUGAGCAAUCAUGCAUGUCAAGAGGGCAUAUGAAGCAAUGUUAAACGGCACACCCAGGCCCAUAUCAGCAGAGCGCUGAUACAUUUGACAUGAUAACUCCCCAUUAGCCACAUAGAACUGCCAAAACAAAAAGUGAGACUCAACAAACAACGAAAGAAAUAAUGAGACAAAAUUAAGGCAAAAUAUAAAUGCUACCUGAGCAAACAUGUGGCAAGGUGGAAGCGCCAUCAAUUUGAGAUCAAAAGGAUUCCAAGCCGAGAGUACAAUCCGCCGAUCAUUUGGAUUAUUCUUAAUCUUGUUAAUAACAUCUAGCAACUGAUCAAAGCCUUGGCCAGAGUAGUCAGCAUGCAUGUUAGUAUACCUGUAAAAUUUAAGACAAUUAGCAAAGCCUGAAACUUGAAUUCUUGAAGGUAAUGUAAUCCGUCAUAGAAACUUGAAAAACCAGACUCCACUAACCUUGCACCAAAGUGCCUCCAUUGAAAACCAUAUACAGGUCCUAGGUCACCCUCCUCUCUGUCCGUCAAACCAACACUGAACAGACACAAAUAUCAGUGGUAAGUGCAUGAAAGAACAAUUAAUAUUACCUUUUCAAAGAAAAAUUAAAUCCUGACACUCGCCUAUCAAGAUAUUCCCUGGAUGCAUUGCCAUCCCAUAUAUGAAUAUCCUUUUCCUGAAGAACCUGUCAUGAUACUAUUGUUAGGACGUAGUCCUGCUCCAGACAGAAUAAAAGGAACAAACAAUUCAAUGGAUGCCUCAUCCAAAUUUUUUUUUUUUUUUUUUAACAAAAGCAAAAGAUAAAUGAUCAUUGAUCGAUAUUAACAGGUCAAGUGAAAACCAGCAUUGCUAUUUUAAAGCAACACAAGAAGAAUUCAUCUCUGGCAGCGAACAAACAAAAAUUAUUAAUGCCAUGGUAAAGAAAAAUUAAUCUCCACUAGUGUGCAUUCAGUUAAUUCUGCCUGCCACAAAACAUAGUCAGAAUGUAAACAUGCAAUUUGUCAGAACACAUCUUCCAUAGAAUAAAUGAAAAAGAGAAACCUAACUUAUCAACCGAACUUUUGAUAGGAAACAAAGAAACUAGUAUUACCACAGAUUACCUGUUUAGAAAAAAAAAAAAAAAAAACAAUUACAGAAUAUAUGGAUCAUAUGCAGUGCAUUAAAAAAUAUGACAGAUGAAGUGGGACAAACUCUGAGCAGUUAAAAAAAGCUGAAACAAAUUAAACAAAGACCCUCAAAAUGCUAAUCAUUUUAACAACUCCUUGUAGCUUCAUGUGUGUGCAAAGGUAUGAUUUUAGUGAAAUGCAAACAAAAUAUAAAAUAAAAUAAAAUAAUUCCUUGAAAGAUCUUAACCAUUGGAAGACAAAGACUGAUCUGCUCUAUUGCUCCCAAGAGUACAUAAAAGAUCAACUUUCAACAAUAACAUCAUUACCUUGGCAUUUGUUGAACCACUGAUGAACCAGAGAAGUUCCUCGACAACACCUCGCCAAAAUACUUUCUAUGAACCAAAUGAUAACAAUAAAUGUCAACCUAAAUAUCAAAUAAAUGAGAUUUUUUUCUCCUUUUUAUUAUAAAUUGAUUUUCUGACCAAGAAAGAAAGCAAAAUAAAAUAAAAUAAAACACCAUGAGUUGGCUCAAUCUCUAAGACCCAAGACAAUUUUAGAAAAAUAGAUAAGAUAGACAUGCCUUGGUUGUAAGAAGCGGAAAAGUUGUGCGCAAAUUGUACCGCAUCUGUAGGAAACAAAUUUGAAAAGAAGAUCAGCUUCCACAAAUAGUUAAACAAGACUGUCAAACGGAAACAAACUUCAGAAGCAAAAGUAGAGAAGCUCUAUUGAUAAUAAGAGCUUGGCAUUACCUGGCAACCAAAUUUGGACAAUGUACCAGUUCCUGUCCUGUCAUCCUUCAGAUUGCCAUCUGAGAUGAUGUCUUGAACAAGUCUUAGAUACAAGUACUCCUCAUGUUUCUCAAAAACCAUCUUGGGCAGGAAUGAGAACUGCUUGACCUCAAACUUGUCAGAAUUUGUCUUACUAUCAAGGACAAUAUCAUUGUUUUGACUAAGGGAUUCCACCGCAGCACUUCUCACACGAACAUAAGUACUAAGGCAAUACCGAAUGUUGUUUUCCACAAUGGGAAAGGCUGAGUACCAUGGCUGAAAUACAGAUGAAUCAAUCGAUGGAAUAAAUGUGUCACACUCAAUCCUGGUCUCAAUUUCAGUAAUGUGGAUAGCAUCACAUUCAGGAGCAUUGAGAGCCUCGCUGUUUCAAAUGAAAAUCAACAUAAAAAAGAAAUCAUAAUGAAAAAAAUAAAAUAAAAUAAAAAGGCACUGCUAUAUAAAGUUAAAAAAACGAGCACACACCUUAAGAUCUGGCCGCCUCCAAUAACAAAAACUUUCUCAAUUGACAAACAAUAAGGAGAAGCAGCCAACAAUUCUAAAGCAGAACCAAUGCUUCCACAUAUCACAACAUUCUCAACUGUAGCAAUAUCAAAACUUCCAGAACGAGUAACUGCUGUACGGCCAAGGCGGAUGUACGGUACAGCAGGGUCUCAUAGAGGAGUAUGGCAAUCAGUGAAUCUUGAUCAUCCGGCGACUUUUGAUACAUUGGCUAUGGAUUUUGAUAUGAAGAAGACGAUAAUGGAUGAUCUAGAGAGGUUUCUGCAGAGGAAGGAAUUUUAUCGAAGAGUAGGCAAGGCAUGGAAACGUGGGUAUUUACUGUAUGGUCCUCCAGGGACUGGCAAGUCAAGCUUGAUUGCGGCCAUGACUAGUUAUCUCAAUUUCGAUAUCUAUGACUUGGAGUUGUCUAAUCUUCGGUGGCGUAAUGAUGUGCGUUGAUGGUGGGGUGGUUAAUUGGUAGAAAACAGUGAUUGGAGUGCCCGUGUGGAUACUUGAUGGAUGGACCGAAGUUACUUGGCUAUUGGUUGCUUUUGUUAAAGGUGAUAGGCGCGUGUGUUGUCGGCCUUCUUUUGAAAGGAAGGCAUUGUAAUUGGUCAGUCGGUUUGCACUUUAAAGUUGGUGAGUCGGUGGUUUAAUUUAAACAAUUUGUUUUGAUUAUGGUUUGGUUUACGUAGUUUUGUGUUUGUCAAUCCUUGUAGUUUGUUGUGAUUGGUGGAUUUCAAUUAGUUAUCAAAUUUAGUUUAUUGGAAGGAAUUUGAAGAAGUUGAAUUAAUAUUCGGUUUCCCGCUCAGUGUUUGGCUAUAAAUAUGUGUUGAUCGGGUUCAUUUUGGGAGCAGGAGAGCAGGAUCGUAGAGGUUAGAGAGAGAAUGGAGAGGAAAGGUAAGUGUGGUUCUCAUUUGAGUUUCAGUAAGGGGUGGAUGCAUAGUAUAGUUUCUGAAAUAUGUGAGCAUGAUUUUGUGUUUGUAUUAAUCCCUUUUAAUAUGGAGAGGAUGGAGUUAGUUGAGUUUUUCCGUAGACGUGGGUAUCUGAUAUCGAAUGGCCGUUCUCUUCCCUAUGCUCAUGGCGUUGAUUAUGGGAUGGUGGAUAGUGAUGAUGAAGACGCUGAGUGUGAGUUUGAUUUUAGUAAUUGGUCCGUUGAGAAGAACCGUAACACUGUAAUAUCAUUGAGCGAUUGGUGUGAUGAUAAUGGCAACAUGGAGGUUGUGGAUGUUAAUUUAGAUGGAAACUAUGGGGUAAUUAAUAUUGAUAUGGAUCGGUUUUUCAUGAAGUUUGAUAAGCAUUUAGUUGUAUUCAUUAAUGAUUAUGAUGUUGAAUUAGCUAAAUGUAAAGCUUAUGUAAUCGAUUGUAAUAAGUUUUAUAAUUAAUGAAAGCUAAUAAUAUUAAUGAUAUAUUAUUAGAGAUUACUAUAAGUGUGAUGUAAAUGGGGGCAUAAGUGUGCCCGUAUUCAGUUUUGUAAAGAAUGUUGUAAGGUUAUUGGUGGUGUUCCAGAUUGGAUGUAAUGUCGAAAUUUGUAAGGAAUGAAUGUUUGUUGAACAAUGUGUGAACGUUAUGGAUUGGUUUGUAUAUCAUUUGGUUUAUAUUUGCCACCAAUUCAACGUGACCUAUUUUGUAACGACCAAUUUAUCCUAAAUUUAAUAAAACGAAUAAAUUCAGAAUGGAUGUGCAUAUUCACAUGACAUAUUGUAAUCCAGGAGGUGGGUUCAAAAUGCUGGCCUCCAACUACCUUGGGAUCACAGAGCAUCCAUUCUUCUUAGAGGUUGAAGAGUUGACAGAGAAAGUAAUGGUGACUCCUGCUGAUGUAGCUGAGCGACUGAUGAGGAGUGAGGUACCUGAAGUUGCACUUAGAGACCUAAUUGAUUUUCUUAAGAUCAAGAAGAGAGAACAGGGUGAAAGUAAAGCCAAAGGAGUGAAAGAAGAGAGAGCAGGGGAAGCAGAAAUUGAAGGGAAAGCCAGUGGCACAUGCGGAGACAUGCCAAAGAUUCAGCAAAUUGUAGGGAAGUCUUCAAGAAGCAAUGAUUUGUGAUCAGAAUAGGGUACAUUUCAUUUCAGUGGUCAAAGAAAGUCUUACAUAGGAGGUUCAAAUAAAAUUACAUCAGAGUCAAAAAUCAGGCUUGAAUGAAUAUGUUCUAUUUUGCCAAUGAAUUCGAAUCAUCAUAUGAUUAAUGACCACCAUUUUCUUUUUCUUUUUUUUUCUUUUUUUGGUUUUACAAGAGGUGUCCUUUUAUAUUUUCUUUAGAUUAAAUGACCUUUUGUAUGUCCUAAAUUUUCAGAAAUUAUUUUAGGAUGAGUUAUGCUAUUUCAACUCUAUGACGACAAAGGGACGACAGAAACAUGUGUCUCUUUGUCUGUUGCUUCAACUUCAUUCAUCAUCCUUUAUCGAUUACUUUUUUCAUUUAAAAAAUAAAAUAAUGAAAAAGAAACCACAAAAGUAACGAAAAGAGGUGACAAUAACAGCACUUUUUUAUUUCCGAUUUUUCUUGUUGUCUUCUCUCUCUCCAUCUCUCACCUCUCAUUUAACGUGAGCCAUCUGCAUUUAACAAGGAAAAAUCGGUUCCCUCUCUGCAUCUCGCUUAUCACAAGGAAGAAGUUAGAUCUGGAUCUGCAAACAGAGGCAACUUGAUAAAAUUGGUACUGAUUAAUUGGUAAGUUGGUGACUCUCAUUACAUUUAAAUAAAAUUUUUGUUGUGUUCUAUAUAUUUAAAUGGUUAGAAUAUUUAAUUUAAAUUGUAAAUAUUCGUAGAUUUUUUCUUUUUAUAUAUUUAAAUUGUUAUGAUUUUUUUUUAAUUUAAAUGGGUGGAAAUAAUGGAAUAAAUUAUAACAAUUUCUGAAUGUGUUUUAUAUAUGUUAGGAUUUUUUUUAAUUUAAAUGCCUGGAAAUAAUGGAAUAAAUUGUAACAAUUUUUUAAUGUGUUUUAUAUAUGUUAGGAUUUUUCUUAAUUUAAAUGGCUGGAAAUAAUGGAAUAGAUUAUAACAAUUUCUAAAUGUGUUUUAUAUAUGUUACGAUUUUUUUUAAUUUAAAUUGCUGAAAAUAAUGUAAUAAAUUAUAACAAUUUCCGAAUGUGUUUUAUAUAUUUAAGUUGUUAGGAUUUUAUAAUUUAAAUUGCUGGAGAUAAUAGAAUAAAUUAUAAAAAUUUGUGGAUGUGUUUUAUAUAUUUAAAUUGUUAGGAAUUUUCGUUACUGGACAAAAAUGUUAUAUAAGUUUCUUAAUACAAAUGUUAAUUAUUUUGUAGAAAUGGAGAAUUUGGAAAAUGAGCAUGCAUUUGAAGAGUUGCAAGAAACAAGAGCUAACGAUGUAGAUGAAAUUGUGGAACCGAACAAAUGUGAGCCAGAUCUUAGAAUGUUAUUUGAUAAUCGUGAAGAAAUGUUUGCAUUUUACAAAGCUUAUAGUAAACAAGAGGGGUUUCCUGUGAAGGUUCAAAGUACUAGGAAGGGGACCGAUGGAAUUGUAAAAUAUGCGACAUUUGCAUGUGGGCGUAGCGGCAAGUCAGAAAGUAAAUCAGCUAAUGCAUUGAAGCCGAAACCGAAUGUGAAAAAUGGUUGUGAUGCAAAAAUUGGAGGUUGUCUAAAUGAAGAUGGAAAAUGGGUUCUUCAAACUUUAAAUCUUCAACACAACCCUGGAUUGAGUCCAGACAAAGCUAGGUAUUUCCCAUGCAAUCGCAGAAUUAGUGCAAGUGCUAAAAAACGAAUUAAAAUUAAUGAUUGUGCAGGAAUUAGAAUUGUCCAAAAUUUCAAUUCUAUUGUUGUUGGAGCUAGUGGGUAUGAAAAUGUGUCAUUCUUAGAAAAAGAUUGUAGAAAUUUUGUUGACAAAACAAGGCGAUUACAGCUUGAGGAAGGAGAUGUUAUGGCGCUUUUAAAGUACUUCCAUAAAAAGCAAGUAGAAUGUGCUCAAUAUUUCGAUUUAUGUCACAAUCUCCCAGUGUCAAGUAGCUGGAUACCGUUCACGUUCCACAUAUUAUUUUUCACAUUUAAUUAAUUCAAUUAAGUGGAUGAUCAUAUAAAUGAUACCACGAUAUGUUAAAUUGAAAGUUCAGAAAGAUUCAAAAUUUCAUCAUCCACAAGAUAAAAUAAAAACAAAUAAAAAAAAUGCUUACGGAUGGGUCACUAGAACUGCACCAGCAAGCAACAGCUAGAAGUCUCUUAGAAGCCUGAAGAGCCACAACAAGAUCAUUCCACCAAAGCAGCAACGUCGUAGAUGAAGAAGACUCGAUCGUGUCUGUUGUAGAUCUGGGUUGGGCGAGAACAAGAAGCGGUCGUCAUCCGGUAACAAGAAGCAGGCGUCGUCCGGUAACAAAGCAAAUAGGGUUGGGCGAGAAAAAAAAAAAAAAGGGCUGGGUGAGAAUAAGCAGCCAGGAAAAUGAGUGGAGGGGCUAUGGAGAUGAAUGCGCGUAGAUCGAGGCUGAGCUGGUGGCCAAUGAGAAUCAUACUUUGCUAACCAAGCUUGUGAAAAGGAGGGAAAAGCACCAGCCGGCCAGGAAUGAUGACCAAUUGCUGGGGGUCGAUUUCCUCUUCCUUCCAGAUGAACGGAAAGGGAAGAACGAAGGAGGGGAGUAAACUAAGGAAAGGAAAAUAUGGCUGGGGAGGGAGGAGAUAAAAAACAAAAAGAGAUGACCUGCUUUCCAUUUAACAAUUCUUUAUUUUAUUAUUUAUUAUGGCCCCACGCGGAACUAAAAGAAGACAAAGGAAACGCGUGAAACAGCAGUGGGCACUGCGUUUCUGUCGCCCCUUUGUCUUCUUUUAGUUCCUUUAUCAUUUUCCUUUUAGGAUUCAUUGGUUGAAUAGAUUUGUAUCCCCCAAGGUUAACAUUAUUAUACUUAGUGCUUAUUCG